rnacentral:rRNA from 1 species
UACGAAGGGGGCUAGCGUUGUUCGGAAUUACUGGGCGUAAAGGGCGCGUAGGCGGCUUCGCUAGUCGGGCGUGAAAUGCCUGGGCUUAACCCGGGAAUUGCGUUCGAUACUUCGAGGCUAGAGUGUGGGAGAGGUUGGUGGAAUUCCCAGUGUAGAGGUGAAAUUCGUAGAUAUUGGGAAGAACACCGGUGGCGAAGGCGGCUUCUGGUCUGUAACUGACGCUGAGGCGCGAAAGCGUGGGGAGCAAACAGG